rnacentral:lncRNA from 1 species
CGCUACCCCUACUCAUGCUCCCUCCCUCCCUCUCUCUCUCUCUCUCAAAUAAAUAAAUAAAUAAAAAAUUUAAAAAAGCAGCAAGUGAUAUUCACAACUGGAGGCAAUUUGGUUUGGUGAAGUGAGUGUGUACUUAGGAGUCAGAUGGAGCUGGAUGAACUUGGGAAACAGCACCUCUCUGAGCCUUCAUUCUUUUAUCGGUAAAACGGGGACAGAAAUGCUUGACUCACACAAUCCUUGUGAUAGUAAACCACAAAAUGCUUCGCACGGUCCCUGGCACAUAGAAGGCCCUAGCAAGUCUUUCUUCCAUACCUCCCUUCUGCUGUUUACCAUAAAUGAUAUGUUCUUGAUUGAAUCAGAUUUCGUCAGUAACAACUACUAUGAGGGCAUUGCAGAAUGUUCGGGAGGUACACUGGAGCUCCUCCGGUGGAACGCUCACCACAGAAGAUUUGGAUUCCCUAAGCAGUCAGGCUCCCCCUCCCAUAACUCGUCUGUCUACUUCACGUUCAAGUGCCACCGGGCCCUCUCCACACUGCCCAGGGGGAGCUCGAGCUCAGGGAGCCAACCUAAGUGCAUUGAUUCUGGCUUCUAUUUAUUGUAACAACAAGUCCUUUUUCUCUGACCCAGGAGUCUUGUGUCUUCUGCUCAGACUAUGAAACUGUGGAUGGCAACCUUGUUUGCUUGAAAACAAGGUAAAAUCUCAAAUACCUCACAGCGCUUAAUGACUGUCAUUAAAAAUUAGAGGUAGGGGUAAUGCGACCAUAUGAAGAACAAAAUGAAUACCCCCCCCCCAUAUACACACACAUAUAUUUAAAUCAGGGCAGUUUUAAAAAUCCCUCUACUAAAUAUGGGGAGACCUGAUUUAUAGAACACAGGGUGUUGGACCCGAUGUGUAUGAGUCAUGGUCUGCUGAGUCACUCUAACUGGCAAUCUUGCAGCUGGAAUACUCAUCACCAAGAGCCAGGUCAUAUGCUGAUGGCAGUGAAUUCUUCCCUAAUUUUAAAAAAUAAUAAUAAUGAGAGUUCAAAUAAACCAUUGUGAAAUGUGCCUUGGCUCUCCCUGUCUCCAGGGGGUCAGGUAGGCAGAUCCUCCCACGUACUCAACUAACUGGGUGGCCGCCGAUGAGGUGAGACUGAUCUGAAAAUCCCCAUCAAUAUUUCUUUUAUAUUCUAAAGUCCCUUUUUUUCCUCCAAUCUAGGCAUUAAUAUAUUCAAAAAAGAAUAAUAACAUUCAUAUCUGAUGUCAGCUUCAAAGCUCCCCUUAAGGCCUCUCAGGCACCUCCUGCCAUCAAAGUCAUUAGCUGAAAAGAAAAUAAAGGUGGAAGGAGGAGGAAACAAGGGUGGGAAGAUGGAAGAUGGAAACGGGGCUGUCUUUUGCAGAGGAUUUCUAAAGGUCUUCCCGAGGUAGUGACGUGCCCUUACCUGCACCUGCGUCAAUCUCUGGCUUCCCCGAGUGCUUCUCCUCUUCUGUGCUGCUAACACCAGACUCGGUGUCAUAGUGGCAGCGGCAGCCAGGUUCCACAGCUCCAGCUGCAAUCUGUCCAACUGAUUGGAGAUCAUAUGAAAUAUCAAAAGGCAUAAAAACAGGUCAUGGGAACAUUGCUGAGCUAUUUCACAUCAUGUCAGCAAGCAGGGUUAAUUUUAAAGUAUUCACAUUAAGAUGUGACCUUGUUUUUAAAAUCGGUUAAGAUUAAAUUGCUUCCAAGCCGCGAUUUCAAAAAGGCAGACACAAUGGGAGAUCAUGAAGUAAAGAGAUCCAUGCAAAGAAAUACUUUUAAAAGACAACAGCCAGAAGCAGUGACAGAGUAGCCAAAGCACAUGCAAUGAAAUGCCUGAAAACGAGGCUUAGUUGCCUUUUCCUUUCUAGAAACACGCGUUACGGCUUUAUAACGCCAGUCAUCCCAUCCCUGCUUUUUGAGAUUGUUAAAACCACCAGAGCUGACUAUACUAUGAGCAUUUCAUCCAUUAGUAGAUUUUGGUGAUUCGAACCCACUACUCACUCCGUGUGGACGGAGGAAAAAAGUGAGUGCGCGGUUCCUAUACAUCGGACAGUGAAAGCGGUUGUAGAAAUUCCUCUUAUCUGCAGUUGACAAUCAGCCAUGGAACUUGAGAAACACAAUGACCUAAGUUCAAGUCCCGUACUCCACACUAACUGUGUCACCUUCGGUAAGUUCUUUGACCUAAGCCUAAGCCUCAGUUUACCCAUCUCUCUUAAAAAGCUAUCUACUCAGUGCUUAUUGGAAGGAUUAAGUAAUACGCGUACAACAUGGUCAUCUUUCGCUCAUUAGCAGAUGCCUACGCACUUGAUAAACAAUAGCUGUGACGAUGGUGAGCACGUUGAUUAGAAGUAGUAUCACCCAGUCUGGUAUGACUAUAGGCAACUGUAAUAUCAAUUAAAUUUGUCUUUAAUUUCUGACAUGUCCCGCCUACAUCUCUUACCCACUGUCUGAUGAUCCAUGUGCCAUUUUUGCCACCUUCUGACUAAUUAAAGCUCAUUUGAAUAACGUAGACCCAGAUCUGCCCUCCCAGAUAAGAGUAGCUACAAUAAAAUACCCUUUUUUGUCUUUCUCCUUCCCUCU